AGAGUUUGAUCAUGGCUCAGGACGAACGCUGGCGGCGUGCCUAAUACAUGCAAGUCGAACGCUUCUUUUUCCACCGGAGCUUGCUCCACCGGAAAAAGAGGAGUGGCGAACGGGUGAGUAACACGUGGGUAACCUGCCCAUCAGAAGGGGAUAACACUUGGAAACAGGUGCUAAUACCGUAUAACAAUCGAAACCGCAUGGUUUUGGUUUGAAAGGCGCUUUCGGGUGUCGCUGAUGGAUGGACCCGCGGUGCAUUAGCUAGUUGGUGAGGUAACGGCUCACCAAGGCCACGAUGCAUAGCCGACCUGAGAGGGUGAUCGGCCACAUUGGGACUGAGACACGGCCCAAACUCCUACGGGAGGCAGCAGUAGGGAAUCUUCGGCAAUGGACGAAAGUCUGACCGAGCAACGCCGCGUGAGUGAAGAAGGUUUUCGGAUCGUAAAACUCUGUUGUUAGAGAAGAACAAGGAUGAGAGUAACUGUUCAUCCCUUGACGGUAUCUAACCAGAAAGCCACGGCUAACUACGUGCCAGCAGCCGCGGUAAUACGUAGGUGGCAAGCGUUGUCCGGAUUUAUUGGGCGUAAAGCGAGCGCAGGCGGUUUCUUAAGUCUGAUGUGAAAGCCCCCGGCUCAACCGGGGAGGGUCAUUGGAAACUGGGAGACUUGAGUGCAGAAGAGGAGAGUGGAAUUCCAUGUGUAGCGGUGAAAUGCGUAGAGAUAUGGAGGAACACCAGUGGCGAAGGCGGCUCUCUGGUCUGUAACUGACGCUGAGGCUCGAAAGCGUGGGGAGCAAACAGGAUUAGAUACCCUGGUAGUCC
rnacentral:rRNA from 1 species